rnacentral:tRNA from 2 species
UGGAUUUUGGUGUAUGGUGCACAGAGAAUUUUGAAUUCUCUGGUAAUAGUUUAAUUCUAUUAGAUCCAA